AAACAUCGCCUCUUGUAUAACUAUAAGAGGCACCGCCUGCCCGGUGGUACAAUAUUUAACGGCCGCGGUAUUUUGACCGUGUGAAGGUAGCGCAACCACUUGUCUUUUAAAUGAAGACCCGUAUGAAUGGCAAAACGAAGGCUAACCUGUCUCAUUCCUCUAGUCAAUGAAAUUGAUCUCCCCGUGCAGAAGCGAGGAUACUAACAUAAGACGAAAAGACCCUGUGGAGCUUUAGAUCGCAACAGCUUAAAACACAUAAAAUUUAUUGAUCUGUUCCUAUCUUAGGUUGGGGUGACCGCGGAGUAAACACACCCUCCGCAAAGAUACACAUAUAACUUAUAACUAAGAAUCAUACUUCAAAGUUUUAGAAUUUCUAAUCUUUUGAUCCGGCUCGCCGAUUAAUAAAAUAAGUUACCCCAGGGAUAACAGCGCAAUCCCCUUUCAGAGUUCUUAUCGACAAGGGUGUUUACGACCUCGAUGUUGGAUCAAGACAUCCUAAUGGCGCAGCAGCUAUUAAAGGUUCGUUUGUUCAACGAUUAAAGUCCUACGUGAU
rnacentral:rRNA from 1 species